UCGGGUAUGGUGUAGCGGUAACAUCGUUGACUCUCACUUCUUCUUCUUCUAAAGAGUGACUGCUUUCUCAACAGCCCCGGGUUCGACUCCCGGUAUCCGAG